GACGAACCGUGCGAACGUUAUUCGGAUUCAUUGGGCGUAAAGGGUGCGUAGGCGGGUUUUUAAGUCAGGGGUGAAAUCCUGGAGCUCAACUCCAGAACUGCCUUUGAUACUGAGAAUCUUGAGUAUGGGAGAGGUGAGUGGAACUGCGAGUGUAGAGGUGAAAUUCGUAGAUAUUCGCAAGAACACCAGUGGCGAAGGCGGCUCACUGGCCCAUAACUGACGCUGAGGCACGAAAGCGUGGGGAGCAAACAGG
rnacentral:rRNA from 1 species